rnacentral:rRNA from 1 species
GCUGACGACCGGCGCACGGGUGAGUAACACGUAUCCAACCUUCCGUUUACUCGGGGAUAGCCUUUCGAAAGAAAGAUUAAUACCCGAUAGUAUGUUUUUCCCGCAUGGGAGAACCAUUAAAGUUUUUCGGUAAUCGAUGGGGAUGCGUUCCAUUAGGCAGUUGGUGAGGUAACGGCUCACCAAACCUUCGAUGGAUAGGGGUUCUGAGAGGAAGGUCCCCCACAUUGGAACUGAGACACGGUCCAAACUCCUACGGGAGGCAGCAGUGAGGAAUAUUGGUCAAUGGACGAGAGUCUGAACCAGCCAAGUAGCGUGAAGGAUGACUGCCCUAUGGGUUGUAAACUUCUUUUAUAUGGGAAUAAAGGAGCCUACGUGUAGGUUUUUGUAUGUACCAUACGAAUAAGGAUCGGCUAACUCCGUGCCAGCAGCCGCGGUAAUACGGAGGAUCCAAGCGUUAUCCGGAUUUAUUGGGUUUAAAGGGAGCGUAGGUGGAGGCUUAAGUCAGUUGUGAAAGUUUGCGGCUCAACCGUAAAAUUGCAGUUGAUACUGGGUUUCUUGAGUACAGUAGAGGUGGGCGGAAUUCGUGGUGUAGCGGUGAAAUGCUUAGAUAUCACGAAGAACUCCGAUU